GAUGAACGCUAGCGGCAGGCCUAAUACAUGCAAGUCGGACGGGAUUUGGGAGCUUGCUCCCAAUGAGAGUGGCGCACGGGUGCGUAACACGUAUGUAACCUACCUUAGUCAGGGGGAUAGCCUCUCGAAAGAGAGAUUAAGACCGCAUAAAAUCACAGUAUAGCAUUAUACAAUGAUCAAAUAUUUAUAGGACUAAGAUGGGCAUGCGGAACAUUAGCUAGUUGGUGAGGUAAUGGCCUACCAAGGCGACGAUCGGUAGCUGGUCUGAGAGGACGAUCAGCCACACUGGGAUUGAGAACGGCCCAGACUCCUACGGGAGGCAGCAGUGAGGAAUUUUCCGCAAUGGACGCAAGUCUGACGGAGCAACGCCGCGUGCAGGACGAAGGUCUUCGGAUCGUAAACUGCUUUUAUCAGGGAAGAGAAUGGACGGUACCUGAUGAAUAA
rnacentral:rRNA from 1 species